GUUCUGAGAGGAAGGUCCCCCACAUUGGAACUGAGACACGGUCCAAACUCCUACGGGAGGCAGCAGUGAGGAAUAUUGGUCAAUGGGCGUUAGCCUGAACCAGCCAAGUAGCGUGAAGGAUGAAGGCUCUAUGGGUCGUAAACUUCUUUUAUAUAAGAAUAAAGUGCAGUAUGUAUACUGUUUUGUAUGUAUUAUAUGAAUAAGGAUCGGCUAACUCCGUGCCAGCAGCCGCGGUAAUACGGAGGAUCCGAGCGUUAUCCGGAUUUAUUGGGUUUAAAGGGAGCGUAGGUGGACUGGUAAGUCAGUUGUGAAAGUUUGCGGCUCAACCGUAAAAUUGCAGUUGAUACUGUCAGUCUUGAGUACAGUAGAGGUGGGCGGAAUUCGUGGUGUAGCGGUGAAAUGCUUAGAUAUCACGAAGAACUCCGAUUGCGAAGGCAGCUCACUGGACUGCAACUGACACUGAUGCUCGAAAGUGUGGGUAUCAAACAGGAUUAGAUACCCUGGUAGUCCACACAGUAAACGAUGAAUACUCGCUGUUUGCGAUAUACAGUAAGCGGCCAAGCGAAAGCAUUAAGUAUUCCACCUGGGGAGUACGCCGGCAACGGUGAAACUCAAAGGAAUUGACGGGGGCCCGCACAAGCGGAGGAACAUGUGGUUUAAUUCGAUGAUACGCGAGGAACCUUACCCGGGCUUAAAUUGCAGUGGAAUGAUGUGGAAACAUGUCAGUGAGCAAUCACCGCUGUGAAGGUGCUGCAUGGUUGUCGUCAGCUCGUGCCGUGAGGUGUCGGCUUAAGUGCCAUAACGAGCGCAACCCUUAUCUUCAGUUACUAACAGGUCAUGCUGAGGACUCUGGAGAGACUGCCGUCGUAAGAUGUGAGGAAGGUGGGGAUGACGUCAAAUCAGCACGGCCCUUACGUCCGGGGCUACACACGUGUUACAAUGGGGGGUACAGAAGGCAGCUAGCGGGUGACCGUAUGCUAAUCCCAAAAGCCUCUCUCAGUUCGGAUCGAAGUCUGCAACCCGACUUCGUGAAGCUGGAUUCGCUAGUAAUCGCGCAUCAGCCACGGCGCGGUGAAUACGUUCCCGGGCCUUGUACACACCGCCCGUCAAGCCAUGGGAGCCGGGGGUACCUGAAGUACGUAACCGCAAGGAUCGUCCUAGGGUAAAACUGGUGACUGGGGCUAAGUCGUAACAAGGUAGCCGUACCGGAAGGUGCGGCUG
rnacentral:rRNA from 1 species